GAUGAACAGUUGGAGAGUAGUGUGUCGUCACCACCUCCUUAUGAACUCCCAUCGUCAUCGAGGGUUAAGCAAGUCACUGUGACCUCUACAGAGAAGAAAUGCCCCUGAGAUGCACUCUCAUUUGGAAAGAUUCUAAAAAAUACGGUUUGGAACUUCCGGGUUUGCCCCAGCCAUGUGCAGUCCUGUGUUUGUGCUUCUCUCCUCCAUGCUAGGAACCUCCACCUUGACUCCCUAUUUCUAGCAAAGAGAAGGACGGCUGCUGCCUUCCAUGAAAGGCAUUCUAUAUCAGAGAGGGGCACGGAGGAAAGGGAAUAAAACAAAAGUGAAGUCAAUUUGCAUUCA